rnacentral:rRNA from 1 species
UCCACCCGAGACUCAGUGAAAUUGAACUCGCUGUGAAGAUGCAGUGUACCCGCGGCAAGACGGAAAGACCCCGUGAACCUUUACUAUAGCUUGACACUGAACAUUGAGCCUUGAUGUGUAGGAUAGGUGGGAGCUUUGAAGCGUGGACGCCAGUCUGCGUGGAGCCAACCUUGAAAUACCACCCUUUAAUGUUUGAUGUUCUAACGUUGGCCCUUAUCGGGGUUGCGGACAGUGUCUGGUGGGUAGUUUGACUGGGGCG